GCCCUGUGUUGUGUGUGAGAGCCAUCACAGAUCAGAGCCUGCAGCUGGAUUGAUCAUGGAGUCUCAUGGCUGCCUGGGUGGGGUGUGACUUUGCAUUUUUGGGGAGCUCCAGAGAGCCUGCUGCUGCUGAAGUGAGAAAUGCUAUCAUCACCGGGGCGUCUGUUUGAAAAGAAAAUGAUGUGGAGAUUCACCAGCGGUCCUCAAAGUCCUCAGUUUAUCUUCCCCUAACAUUUCUCCCACUUUGGAAUUAUGGACCAAAUUCUUUAAGGAAUGCAGGAGGUGGGAGUUCUGGCUUCUGUAACUGCUUCUCUGCUGGGCAUGGACAUUGGCAGAAAUGAACUCCGGCUAACUUAAGUGACAACAGAAAUAGAACUAUUGGGAAGAUGUUGAGAACAACACUAUCUUGAAGCAAAGACUGAAUACUAAGAUCCUCAGGGACAGAGAGAAGUGGAAGGAACUGGUAUGUUUGUUUCUAAGUUGAUGACCCAUUUUGAAUUAGCACUGAUUUCUUAGACCAAUGACUGCUUUUAGGUCUGCCUGGUAGCCUCAGGGUUCCAGCUUGUGAUAGGUUUGGUACUAGAAAGGGGGCAGAGGAGAUGUGAGCAGACAAAAGCAAUAGCCUAGUUGAAGUACUCAACUUACUGGUGGAAAUAGCACAUAUGCACUUAUAAACACAAAAGAAGUCCUAUCAAAGUGAUGACUUUUCUAAGUGUGUUUAAGAAGCCCUGCGUUAGGAAGAUGAUAGUUUGGUGGAAGGUGAGGUAUACUGACACCUCUUGUAAUGAAAUGUGGAAAUCUACUCUGUACACCAAUUCUGUAAAUCAGCAUUUAAUUUAUAAGGUGAUAUUGGAGUAAAGAAAGGUGAUAUUGAAGAAAAGAAAUAAAAAGCACUUGAAUAUGUGGCCUCAGCAAGACACAUGCUCUACCAGGUGAGCUGUCUCUCAGAUAUAUUGAUUUUGUCAUGAUUUUAUGGCAUCCAACACGUGAUUUGUAGGC